rnacentral:rRNA from 1 species
UACAGAGGUCUCAAGCGUUGUUCGGAUUCAUUGGGCGUAAAGGGUUCGUAGGCGGCGCGGUAAGUCGGGUGUGAAAUCUCGGAGCUUAACUCCGAAACUGCAUUCGAUACUGCCGUGCUUGAGGACGGGAGAGGAGACUGGAAUUUACGGUGUAGCGGUGAAAUGCGUAGAUAUCGUAAGGAAGACCAGUGGCGAAGGCGGGUCUCUGGACAGUACCUGACGCUGAGGCACGAAGGUCAGGGGAGCAAACGGG